GUUUUUAUUCAAAGGUACAGUAGAACAACUCCUUAUUAAGGGGACACUCCAUAUUAAGGGACAACCAUAUUAAGGGGACACCCCUAUAAGUGGGGGACACUUUUGGCCACAGAACGAGGGAAAGUAUAUCUUUUAACACUAUGCCAAACCCCUAUUCAGGGAACAUCUCUAAUUAGGGGACACUUUUUUGUCCCGAUGGUGUCACCUUUUAAGGGGGUCUUAAUAGGGGUUCUACUGUAUUAUUAAAAUUGAUUAGUUUAUUUAAUCCUUUUAAAUGAGCUUAUCAAUGGAUUUCUAACUAGAUUUAUCAGUGUGAAUAUGUUUUUAACCACUGAUCAGAGUUUAUAUGCUGCUACAUGGACAUGCAUAUACUCCUUUCAACCAACCAAUCAGGAAAAAUUUAGAAUGUUUACAUUUUCCACAGGCAUUAAUUUAGACUCUUGAUGUCAGCUUGUCAUUCAAAGUUGUAUGGUAAUUAAGGUAUUCAAUCAUUGUUGCUUAGCAACCUACCACUCUAACUUGUCAACUUCAGUUACCUCAAUAAAUCGUAAAUACACAACACAUUUUAAUAAAGUAAGUUUUGGUGAUCGCACAAUUAUUUAUAUUAUAGCAUAAAAAAUUGUACAAAUGCCAUCUGCAUGCAAUUGUUUUUACACCACAACAGAUAUAUAAUGGUUUUUCUCUGUUUAAAAGGUAAUGCUGCUUUUAAGUGCACAUGUGAACAUUGAUCACGCCCUCACAAGUUGUGAGAAGUGUUGCAAUGUUCAGUCUAUUGAUCACAACUUGCCAAGGUAUGAUUUGAUCAGAGGGUAUAGAAUUGUAAGAGGUCCGACUGCCCUGAUUUUGUAUGCACGCAAUGAAACGUUAAAAUAUUACUGCCACGAGAUAGGGGGCGCCCUAUUAGAAUUUGAAUAGAGUUUGCGCGAAAAUCGUCUUAUUUUAGGACACGCCUCUUCGUGGCAGUAUUUUUUUUAAUAGGAUUACGUUUCAACGAAACCACGAGAGUCGGACCGCUUGUAGUUCCAUACACUUUGUUUUCAUGGUAAUCACGAGUGAACUGCAAUGUAGAAUUGAAUCUUUCCAGUAACCCCAGCCUCCUUGGAUAUUGUUGCUAAGGUUUGUUUUGGUGAAAUAAGCACGUAAUCUUAGCGAUGUUCUGAUUGGUCAGUUGUCAAGUUUGAUUGACACACCUUGAAGGUCCAUUAAGAUGCAGUAGUUGUUUGCUACCCUGUUCGUCAUUAUGUAAUCAAAAUUAUAUUUUUAAAAAAAACAAUCUUCCAUUGAAAUUCAGUUAUUUUAUGGUUCCAAAACAUGAUAUCUAAAAUAAACUUUCAAAGAAUGUUUGCGAAAUAUUCUUACAGUAUCAUGUACUUUAUUAUAAUUUCCCAAUUUUCAUUGUCAUAAAUAAACUUUAAAUACAUGAAAUUACAAGGCAGCCUUGUAUAUAAUAUAGUGUGAAUACAUGAAAUUACAAGGCAGCCUUGUAUAUAACAUAGUGUGUGAUAGAUUGACUAAAUGUUCUGUGGAUCCGUACCAUACAUGGCGACCUAUUCAGAGAAUCAUCUACGUUUUUUGUCCUAUAAAAAUUUAUAUUCAAAAGAUAUUUUUUAAUGUGUUGCUUCUGUUUUACCAAAAACAAAACCAAAAUGCUGUAGAUUUGUAUAAUAUACAGGUUGUUUUUGUCUGUCCUGUAAAGAGUGCCACGCACGAAUACGGUAUAUAAUCAAGGGAAGACUUGUAGAAACAAGUAUUUAGUGCAAUAAUCAUAAGGAAAUAUAAUUGAAAGUAUACUUCAGAGAAAAAAAAUAUAUAUUUUUGUUGUAAUGUAAAUAGGUUUUUAAUCUGUAGUAGAAGUGGUUAGAUGUCAAAUUAAAUAGAAAUAAUAAUAACCAUGGUCGAAUAUCAAGUGAAUAGUGCCAUGGCAGUUAAUGGUCAAAAGGAGUUUUUAAUGUAUUAAUUAUCCUAAUCUGUGAAUUGAUUGAUUGGAAACACAGCCGUCUUCAUUGGUCAAAUAAACAGUUGUGUUGCUGCUAAUUUUGUUGAAUGAACGCUUGCAUCGCUGUUUUUUGGUCAAUUUAAAAUUAGUAGUACUGUUCUUUGAACAGUUGAAAAUUAGAAUACUGUUCAUUGAUCGAAUGAAACAUUGUACUGUAAUUGAUUGGUUGAAUGUUAAUUGAAGCGUUACUAGAUUAACGAUUAGAGUAUAGUAGUUUGUUCGUUUCGUCUAAUGGAGAAUAUUACUACUGUAGUGCUUAUUAAGACCUGUUGUUUCAGUUUCAUAAAUCUAAUAUAAUAGCUGUCAAAAUAUUUAGCUGUAUACAGUUUCACGUUGUUGUUGUUAUUAUUAUUAUUAUUAUUAUUAUUAUUAUUAUUUGUACACCCAUCUGCUUCUAUGUGUUCAAAUAUUUUUUGCCAAGUUCAUCAUAGUCUAUCCUCUCCCCCAUCCCCCUCCACCACCAUGCACUUUAUUUCCAUUAAAGGAAUUUAGGGUAAUUUGUUUUAAAUGUACAGGUUAUAAAGAAUGUAUUGGUGAUGUGAAAUAUUUUGCUGAGGUCUUUCAUGUUAAAGUUCUUGAGCUCGUAUUUUAUGCUAAUUAUGACGAUCAUAAUCAUCGUAAAGGACUGUUUAAAUGUAUUGGUACACAGCAGGCCUGUAACAAGGCAAGUUUCCCCUUCUGAUAUACCAAAAUCACGCCUUGCAAAAACCAAUUUUUACUAGAAUGCUUCUGCUACAACCCACAUGAAAGCUUUUUCCUGCACACCUAGGUACCCCGCGAUGUCUGGUUCUCAUAAGAACCCCACCCCUAUACUGUACAUAAAAUGCAAGCGGCAGAAACAAUUACAAUGUUGUUCUAGGCUGAUCAUUUCUUUGCUUAUUUGCUGAAUAUCUAAGUACAACAAUUAUUAUUACUCUUGAUUAAUCUGGUAAUAAAGGCAAACUACUGCUUUGAUGUGUCCAUUAAGGGGACAUUUUUUUGGCCGCGAAUCAAGUGAAAAUAUAUCUUAUAAUAUAUAUAACACUGCAACUAACCCCUAUUCAGAGGACACUGCUAUAAGGGGACACCUUUUUGUUCCCCGUUGUGUCUUCUUAAUAGGGAUUCAAAUGUAAUUCCUACGGUAUUUAUUUCAAACGUUAAUGCAUGUAUAAUAUAUUCUCAAGCAGGUGCUAAAUGUGUUCUACUAGGAUAUCACAACAUGUGUGUUACAACAUAUGUGUAACAACAUGUGUGACAACAUGUAUAUAACAACAUGUAUGUAAUAACAUGUAUGUAACAACAUGUGUGUAACACCAUGUAUGUAACAAAAUGUGGGUAGCAACAUGUGUGACAUGCAUGUAACAACAUGUGUGUAACAAGGUGUGUGUAACAACAUGUAUGCUGCAUGUAACAUAUUGUUAACAACAUGUAUGUUACAACAUGUAUGUAACUUGUGUAGCAACAUUUGUGUCGCAACAUGUAUGUUGUAUAGUAGUUUUGAGUAGCAAAGCUCGCUAUUUUAAAAUGUCUCUUCGAGGUGAUAAAGAGUCUGUUGUAGUAUCUAGGAGUAAUUACAACGUGUUAGGUUUGAAUUAUUGAUAUAAGAUAAAGUAUAUAAUUUUGCAUUGUUUAUUAAGGUAAAAUGAAAGACAUCUCUACCGCUAAAUAAUCGGUCUGUGGUCAAACCAAUUAAAUAGCCAAUUGCACUGUCUUGGUGUGAAACUUGGGUGUAACCGUUUGUAUCACGUUUGUACCAUAGUGUGUGGUACCAGGGAAUGGGAGAGGCGGAGUGUGAAGAAACGUAAGUGGUAAAGAUCGUAUUGUUCCGUAUGACAACACAGCUCUAGUCAUGUUCGAUGGAAAAUACUCUGUUGUGAAGAUCAUUCCAUAAAUGAAAAUAAACAAUUUUCCGAUUGUGUUUUAGUUAACCAGAGGCAUUUCCAGAAUGGUACAUUCUGUUAGUUACCGUACCGUUCCAGUUACCCGUUGAAUUAAGAUAUAAUAGAGAGCUUUCGAUUGCACGACGACGGUAGGACGUAGAACGUAAUGACGCCAGUAAAAGUCAUCUGCGCAUAACGGUAAGGUCACCUCGUCGAGUAGGUUCUGAAACGCAAUUUGGCCAAAUCUACGUAUGCAGAGAACGUAGGACGCCAGGUAGGACGGUCACGCAUGAGUGAUUCCGUUCUUGCGUCGCGUCUCACAAAUCGAAAGUUCCCUAAUGUUUAAUAAAUUAUGUAAUACAGUACAUCGUUUACAGUACAUAUUAAUAAAGAAACUAUAAAUCAA
rnacentral:lncRNA from 1 species